GACGAACGCUGGCGGCGUGCUUAACACAUGCAAGUCGAACGGAAAGGCCCUGCUUUUGUGGGGUGCUCGAGUGGCGAACGGGUGUGUAACACGUGAGUAACCCGCCCUUGUCUUUGGGAUAUCUUCUGGGAACUGGGGCUCAUAUACGAUAGGAUCUCCUGAUGCGUGGUGGUGGUUGGAGAGUUUCGGCGGUUGUGGAUGGACUCGAGGCUUAUCCGCUUCUUGGUGGGGUAGGUGAGUACCAAGGCUUUGACGGCUAGGCGACAUGGGAGGGUGAACGGCGACAAUGGUACUGAGAGACGGAGCAGAAGCCUAUGGGAGGCAGCAGGCGGGAAUAUUGCACAGUGGGCGGACGUCUGAGGCAGAAACGCCGCGUGCGGGAUGAUCGCCUACGGGGUGUAAACAGCUUUGGAAUGUGACGAAGAGGGAGUGACGGUAAUGGGUAAAGAAGCACCGGCUAACUACGUG
rnacentral:rRNA from 1 species